ACGGGAGGCAGCAGUGGGGGAUAUUGCACAAUGGGGGAAACCCUGAUGCAGCAACGCCGCGUGAGGGAAGAAGGUUUUCGGAUUGUAAACCUCUGUCCUUGGUGACGAUAAUGACGGUAGCCAAGGAGGAAGCUCCGGCUAACUACGUGCCAGCAGCCGCGGUAAUACGUAGGGAGCGAGCGUUGUCCGGAUUUACUGGGUGUAAAGGGUGCGUAGGCGGCCAUGCAAGUCAGGUGUGAAAACCCGGGGCUUAACCCCGGGACUGCAUUUGAAACUGUGUGGCUUGAGUGAAGUAGAGGCAGGCGGAAUUCCCGGUGUAGCGGUGAAAUGCGUAGAGAUCGGGAGGAACACCAGUGGCGAAGGCGGCCUGCUGGGCUUUAACUGACGCUGAGGCACGAAAGCAUGGGUAGCAAACAGGAUUAGAUACCCUGGUA
rnacentral:rRNA from 1 species